rnacentral:rRNA from 1 species
AAACCAACUGGGAUUACCUUAGUAACGGCGAGUGAAGCGGUAAAAGCUCAAAUUUGAAAUCUGGUACUUUCAGUGCCCGAGUUGUAAUUUGUAGAAUUUGUCUUUGAUUAGGUCCUUGUCUAUGUUCCUUGGAACAGGACGUCAUAGAGGGUGAGAAUCCCGUUUGGCGAGGAUACCUUUUCUCUGUAAGACUUUUUCGAAGAGUCGAGUUGUUUGGGAAUGCAGCUCAAAGUGGGUGGUAAAUUCCAUCUAAAGCUAAAUAUUGGCGAGAGACCGAUAGCGAACAAGUACAGUGAUGGAAAGAUGAAAAGAACUUUGAAAAGAGAGUGAAAAAGUACGUGAAAUUGUUGAAAGGAGGGCAUUUGAUCAGACAUGGUGUUUUUGCAUGCACUCGCCUCUCGUGGGCUUGGGCCUCUCAAAAAUUUCACUGGGUCCAACAUCAAUUCUGGCAGCAGGAUAAAUCAUUAAGAAUGUAGCUACUUCGGUAGUGUUAUAGCUUUUUGGAAUACUGUUAGCCGGAUUG